UUCACAAGGUAAGUGUUGCUUUUCGCACCGGGAACUUAUGCUGAAUUUACAAGCUUUUGGUCACAACACAAGUUACACUGGAAGUCAAAGCUUCUGUGUCACUUUCUUCUUCAGUAUUUGAUAAAAAGGAUUCCUCAUCAUCUGUCAUUUGAGAUGAUGUAUGGAAGCAGCUAACAAGUGAGCCGUCUCGCUUCCUGCUCAUCUCUGCUGAGAGCUGCACAUGCUCAGUACCGAUCGGGCAGGAUGUUUACGUAUGGAGCAAAACCGCCGAUCAUCUCUUUCACAAAUCAGCGUUUUCUGCUGUGAGCUCCGACCAGCUGAGCAGCUUUUUAACACAUCUGGCUGUCGACAGUCACAAGCAGGAAGUGCUCUGCUGAACAUAUGUUUCUGUCAACGCUGAAACGUAGAUUUGACAAUGAAAACCGUCAGUUUAACGCUGCCUGGACCGGCAAGUGUUUGUUUAAUUUAAACUCCAAACAUCUGCUAUUUUUUAUUACAUUAAUUUGCAUUUGUUUAAAACGUGUCAUUACCAAAAACAAAAAAAGGUUUUAAAUAGGCUGCUGAAGAUGUCUGGCCCGUCUACACUUCCUGGUUUUAAAAUCUGGCCCAGUUGAAUCUGUAAUCGGACAGCCCUGUGUUGGAGUAAACUAUAACUGUUUCCUGCUUCCAGGCCAGCACAUCGCUACAGUUACCUGCAACAAGGGAUGUUUCCUGCCAGACCGACCCACCACAGAGACCCUCUGCUGGACUCUCAUCAGAAGUGCAGCUGUCCAGGCUACUGUGUCCUGCAAAGACUUUGCUGUUGGCACAUCCACUGUUCCCUGUGCUGAAGCUGAGCGUCACCGCUGUAAUCCCAUGUUUCUACAUAAAGAGUUCGACCAUCUGAUGAAGCUCGUGUUUGAUGAGGUGUUCAGGACCCACCAGACUCUGAGAAACCAUCAGAGGAGGAAGUUAUUGCAGGCAGGCGGCGGCCUGAAGACAACACAGCGUCCAGCAGCAUCAGGACGUCUCGGUAUCCACAGGAGGACACGUCAGGAUGACCACUGUGACCUGUGACCUCCAGUACCAGCUGACACAAACCCUGUCCCCCGAUGGAGGACAUGAUCUGGACAGUUUAUAUAAAGGUUAUGGCUUAGCUACUUGGUGCUUUAUACAGUAUAUUCCCAGUUUACUGUGUAGUGCUUAAUUUUUAAGGAGGGUUUUGGUCAUUUUUAAAUUUAGUAAUGGUCCUGUGGUAUUACAUAAAUAUAUCAUGUUCUUUCACAAAGGUUUUAGGUAAUUACACUUUCUAAACAGGUGAUAUAAAAACGUAUUUGAUUUCAUGCAUGUUGAAGGUUAAAAACAGGUUCUUUUAAUAUGCUGGCUAUGAAAAUGUGACAGUUUUGUAGAGGCGGUUGUAGGCAUUUACACCUUUCAGAGAUCGGAUAUCUGAUCCACACAAGACACAGGAAGUGACGCAGAGUAAACGAGGUCUGCACAGCGUCUGCCUGCAGCACACGGCCAUCGUUGAUGCUCAGGUUGAUCAAAACCAAGAGACUCGUUUUAUCAGACUGGAAAUCCUCCUCGGUACCAACUGUAGUUUUGUCCUUUUCUUUAUUUAAUGUUUGAAAAAUGAACAACAGACAAGAUAAAAAGAAAAGAAAAAAAGACACGCAUAGGAUUUCAACAACUGAAAAGCCAGUAAGUGGACUUUGAGUUAAAGUCAAUAAUUCACACUCAGUUUAAUAAUUAAACUGUUUUUAUGAUGUUAAAUGUGAAAUUUAAUUUGUUGAGUUCUUCAGAUGAUUGAAACCAAACAUCAACAGAUUGACUUUAAUGAAAAGAGAAACCCUAAUUUAAUAACAGCCAUCUGUCAGAGCACACCCCUGCUUUCUACUGUAAUCCUGUUCCUCCUCCACCUGUGUGUGUGUGUUAGCUGCUGUAAUUAGCAUGUCUUAUCUCGACUGGACGCUGCGAGCUAAAUGCCAUCCCGUCUCUGUGAUCUUCGUCGAUAAACUCAGAAUGAAAGGUUCUCUGAAUCAGGUGCAGCUCGUCUUUGAUUGGACGAUCAUGCUGAGCUCAGCUGAUGAAAACACACAGCUGGAGGUCGACAGCAGAGGAGGAGGCAUAAAAUAAAAUACAAGUUUCCUUCACCAGGUGACAAAAUAGAGUAAAAACAAGUCAGAUCCACAUAAAAGACAGAAAGUAGAAGAAGUUAUAAUAAAGAAAAUUUACUCACAUUCAAAAUAAAAAUCAACUGAAUCAAGAAGAAAGGAAACAACUGACUCGCUAAUCAACCUGCUAACUAACCUGCUAACCUGCCAACUGCUAAAUGACUUUCUAACUGCUAACUCUAAGAUCUGUGAACACAUUUAAAAAGCAGCCCAAGACCUGCCUGUUUAAACUUUAAUUAGUUUAGACUUGUUUAUUUUAUGUUUUAACAUUUUACUAAUGCUACUUGCUAACUGCAGAGUUCAUUACAGCCCCAAUAUCGAUCUGUUCUCAGAGGAGCUAAACAUGUAAAUGUCAUUAAUCUAAAGGGUUGUAGUUUGUCAGUGGCUCUGUGGAGGCAACUGAGAGUUCCUAGUGGUUCCUAGAGUCUCCAAAAGUAGACCGGGAGCCAGAGCCUUCAGGUAUCAAGCUCCUCUCCUGUGGAACCAGGUCCCAGUUUGGGUUCGGGAGGCAG